rnacentral:rRNA from 1 species
UAAGCGUAGGGGCCAAGCGUUGUCCGGAUUUAUUGGCGUAAAGAGCUCGUAGGUGGUUCGGCAAGUCAGGUUGUGAAAUCUCCGCGCUCAACGCGGAGGGGUCAGCUGAAACUGCUGUGACUUGAGUCUGGUAGGGGAGUGUGGAAUUCCCGGAUGUAGCGGUGAAAUGCGCAGAUAUCGGGGAGGAACACCAGUGGCGAAGGCGGCACUCUGGGCCAGUAC